rnacentral:rRNA from 1 species
UACGGGGGGGGCAAGCGUUGUUCGGAAUUACUGGGCGUAAAGGGCUCGUAGGUGGCCAAUUAAGUCAGACGUGAAAUCCCCAGGCUCAACCUGGGAACUGCGUCUGAUACUGGUUGGCUUGAAUUCGGGAGAGGGAUGCAGAAUUCCAGGUGUAGCGGUGAAAUGCGUAGAUAUCUGGAGGAAUACCGGUGGCGAAGGCGGCAUCCUGGACCGAGAUUGACGCUGAGGCGCGAAAGCGUGGGUAGCAAACGGG